CCAAAGGCUCUUUUCAGAGCCACCCACUUUUUUUCGUGAAGAGCUGU
rfam:Pteropus alecto contig104249, whole genome shotgun sequence.